UACGAAGGGGACUAGCGUUGUUCGGAAUUACUGGGCGUAAAGCGCACGUAGGCGGAUUUGUUAGUCAGGGGUGAAAUCCCGGGGCUCAACCUCGGAACUGCCUUUGAUACUGCAAAUCUCGAGUCCGAUAGUGGUGGGUGGAAUUCCUAGUGUAGAGGUGAAAUUCGUAGAUAUUAGGAAGAACACCGGUGGCGAAGGCGGCCCACUGGAUCGGUACUGACGCUGAGGUGCGAAAGCGUGGGGAGCAAACAGG
rnacentral:rRNA from 1 species